GGGACGAACACGAGGAAGACGAGGAGGAGGUGGAAGAGGAAGAGGAGGAGGAGGAGGAGGAGGAGGAAUAAGAAGAGGAAGAGGAGUAAGAAGGUGCUUGUGGGAAGUGGACCAUAAACAGGUACAAGCCACUCUGGAGGAGGAGAUGAAGGAGAUGAUGGAGGAGGAGGAGAAGAGGUUUGAGAGGUGUUGGGAGGUUGUGGAGCGUGUGGAAGUUACCUCCAGCUCCGCCAAUGCUCCACCUGCCUUCUACUGGAGCGAGGUUGAUAAAGAAGAAGAAGAAGAAGAAGAAGGAAAGACAACUACGAUUCCUCUUCCCUCCUCCUCC